AGCAUCGAUUCUAGAGGAGGCGAACAGCACUGACAGCUAUUCUUUGUCUCUCGUCUGGGCUUUGCACGGAGCUCGACGUCGUUUCCAUGGGCUAUUUCUAUUCCCUCCUGCCUAUGCUCCCAGGAGAGGUGGAGACUGUCUUGGGUUUGGCUUGGAGGAUGUCGAUAUGCCUCAUUUUCAAACUAAAGAUCUAGAAGAGACCAGCAAGAAACAGCACAGAGUCUACGUAGGUGGAUACCAGAGAAUCGCCUGGAGAGAUUUACAGGUGUGUUCUGGACUUUGGGAACCGUGGACACACAGAACCAGCUACCUGUUUCGGUGAGAGAAAGCCUCCUGACACCUGGGAUUGCAGAUGUGCACCACCAUUCCUGACACCUGGGAUUGCAGAUGUGCACCACCAUUCCUGACACCUGGGAUUGCAGAUGUGCACCACCAUUCCUGACACCUGGGAUUGCAGAUGUGCACCAACCACCACUCUUAGUUUUUAGUUGUCUAGUACCUCAGACUCUCUGCAACAAUACUUUCCUCAAGGAGAGAAUGUACCUGGCAUUAAAGGAUGCACAUGGGCUUUUAAAGGGUGACAGCCACUCUUUGGAGUGGAAGUGCCACUCACGCGCGCCUUUGCCAAAAGAUCUCUUUGCAACGUAAGUGAAUGAUGGUAUGAGCCUUGGGAGAAGACAAGC
rnacentral:lncRNA from 1 species